GUCUGGCUGGCUCAGUAGGUAGAGUGUGUGUCUCUCUUGAUCUCAGGGUCAUGAGUUCAAGCCCCAUGCUAGGCA
rnacentral:tRNA from 1 species